CAGAAAACAGAGACCAAGGCAUGUUUCAGAGCAGGAGUGGACGUUUAUUUUAAAAGGCUUUAAAACAGGGAAAAAAAGCAAAGUACACUUGGAAGGGACCCAAGCAGGCGACUUGAAGAACAAGUGCCCCAACUCCUUAGACUUGAAAUUCAUCUCAGCAUUCACACUGAGUUGACAGCUCCCCAAGGCUGCUCUUCACGUGACUAAAUGUGGCAGGGAUUCUAAGGAAGACCUGCUCGUGGGAAACAAAGGACUCUCUUGUUGAUGGACUUUGGCUCACAGACACCCUGCAGCUUUGUAGAACCUUCCUUAGACUAAUCCAGGACAUUUCCACCUAAAUUCUUCUCUCCACUAAGUCAGACAUGCCACAAACCAGUUCUGACAAUUCUCCACCUUCCCUGCUUUCUUCUCUUUUUCCUAUCACAGAGGAAAUUCCCUACUUCACCUCUCCCUGGGCUCAGAGAGUACGCAGGGAAAAGACUGUCAAUGAAUUUAUCCUUGCAGAGGUGCCAGGCAACAUCCACCAGAUCUAUCUAUGUCUACAAGCAGCUUAAAAGCAGAGGCUGUUUCUCACGCAGCAGCCCUAGCUCUCAACCCUCAACACCUGCCUACUCUAGGCCAAGUCCCAGCUGCUGCUGCAGCAGCGCUGACAGCAAAUACAACUUUCCGUUGCUUCCUGUUGAGCAACUGGAAAAAGACGGAAGCAAGAAGAGGACCCUGGCAUCAGACGUCAGCACUCUGGAAAUGGGUUUUUACUGGGGACAGAAAGAAAGAAAUUGCUGAAAUGGAAGGAAUUAUCAUUUCUAGAGUCAUCUCUGGAUAACAAAUUGUGGAGGCCUAAAUAUCCACAGAUUAUUCUAUCUGAGUUUAUCUUGUUGCGACAGAUCUGCAUGCUGUAAUCAAUCAUGCUGCGUAUCCAUAAAACAGCUUCAUAGUACACAUGUAUUCUCCUCAAAAUAAAGUUGUAACAUUUACACAUAAUAACUUAUUGGGCUGCAGGCUUUGCCUGACGUAUGCUCAAUAUCAUCUGAUGUUUUAUUGGAUCCCACACAAACUUUUGCCUAACACAGUCGUUUCUACAGAGAAAAGUUAAUUGAAAGUCUUGAUUAUAAUAAAGAAAAAAAUUUUUAAAAGACAGGGAAUUGUGACAACUACUCUGGGGGCUGCAGAGAGGCCAAGGUGGGUGGAACAUUGAGAGAAAAGGACAAGGGUGGGUUUGAAGACCCCCACUUGCUGGCUGUUGGCUCUGGAACAGGACAGUUCAGCUGUCCAGAUCUCAGCUGCCUCACCUGUGAAAUAUUUGGCAUUACCAAAUGCUAAGGUGUAAAUCACACAGAGAAAGUGAGAUGGGUGGAAGAGGAUGGAGAGAUCACGGGAAGGGAUUCCUGAGCAGGAAAUAGGCAUAAUUAGCCAGUGUGACACAGCACACAGAAGACCACUUUGUCUGAUUCAGUGUGGGUUUGGGUAGUGGUAAAAGAGUUUGAAGAGGAGUUUAGAGCUAUUUCUGAGGACUGUCAUUAUUGGUCACAGCUGUACUCUGUUCAUUUCUCUCGCCACACUCACUAAAAUCUGUAUAAAAGUUAUUUAUUUGUUGACUUAUUCAUUAUCUGUAUCUCCCCAUCUCAGACUCUCAGAUCCAUGAGGCAGAGACAUGGCUAUCUUGUGCACUGUAGUGUCUGCAGUCCUUAGCAUGUACUAGGUACUCACCAAAUAAUUGACAAAGGAAUGAAACAUAAAUGAGUGAAUGACCAAAUCAGGCCACGAAUGCACCAGCUCCAAUUCUUACAGAGAGCUGCCACAGAGGUGCUACACUGACAGCCCCUCUGGCUAACGUCCUGUGCUCUCCCUCUCCCCAACCUCCAUCUAAACUCCCAUCCAGUACCAUGCUCCCAGCAAUAUAACCAACCUAAAAGCAAGGACCAGUGGGCAUGCUGCCCUUUGUGGACAACAAAGGGUCCCUCUGCUCUCUACCCCAAUCUGAGGACACAUGAGAUGUGGAAGCUGAUUUGGGGACACACUUUAAGAAACCACAGAAACUAGCAAGUGCCAUAUAAACAAGUAACUCUCUUUAUGUUGUAGAAGUUCCAGUGGAUUGGGUGACAUGCAGGACCAUGCAUCAGGAUCAUUCUCAGAACAUGAAUAUCACCUAGGGAGCUUUGUCACCUUUCCACCCUGGUUCUGCUCUUGGAAGUCCUGGUUGAGUAGGCUUGCGCUGGGGCCUGGACACCUAUCAUUCCUAAAGUUUCUAAAGUUUCGCAGACAAUUUUGAUGUGCUCUGAAGAUUGACAACAGCAGGACCGGACAAUGGCUUAGGUCACUUCUUUCCUGCUUCCAUUGUAAGUGUAGUUUUAUCCAAGACUGAUUGAGUUUUCUUUGAGGGAGAGAAAAAGGAGGAAUGAAUAUUCAUUGGUUUCUUUGAGGGAGGAAAAAGAGGAGGAGUGAAUAUUCAUAUGGUUUUCUUAAAAUUCAAUCCAGUCUAAGAUAAAACAAGUGACUCAAUUAGAGAAAGUUUAAUAUCUGGCCUUCCAGUUUAAUAAAAAUUAAGCUAGGGUUUCAUUGUCCAGUGAGUACGCCAUGCUCAUUUCCUGCUCCUAUCUUUGGUUUGUAGAAUUCUUCAACGACCACCAUUGUCCUUUCCUUCCUCCACAACCUACCCAAAUCACACCCACUUAUUUGGGGGAAUGAUGAGAUAUGGCUAAUCAUGUAAAAAUCGCUGACAAUUGGGCAAAGAACUUACCUCAACCUUGUCUUGCUGAGAGCUUUGAAAUUUGCAUUGGGAUAGCCCACUCCUAUUCACUCAUUAAACGGACAUGUUGACUCAGCUCUAUCAGGAGUUCUAUCAUGUUUGACAUAGCUCUAUCAGGAGCUGUGCUAGGUGCUGGGUUCAGAGCAGUGAAAGAAACUGAUAUGGGAACAUGAUUCUUGCUUCAUGCUUCAGCAUCAUUGCUUAAGAGCAAUCUGCUGUUUGCAGCUUGGUGCUUUGGGAAAUCUGUAGUGUUGACAGCUUCCGAGGGUUUAAGAAGACAUAACUCUCAUGAAGAAUCACAGAUGUUAUCCUGAGGAUUAUCCGUUCAAUCAUCAAAGGUUUUAUUCUUAUACUCUGUGACAAAGAAAAGGCUAAGAUUUCAUGUGACUCCCUUUAGGUGGGGCUACUCCGCCCCAGCAAAAUCCACAAAUAAGCAAGUUGAGUUUAACUAUAAACUUGGGGACUUUUGCCUUGGAAAUGGAUCUGGUACCUUGGCUCUUCUGUCCAGGCCAGCUAGACCUUGCUGAAGUUGGGCUGCUGUUCUUAACAAGCCCAUGUGUUUGGUUGCCAUGGCUGUGAGGUGGGGAAGGAGACCCAGGAGCAUGCUGGAUGCAGGAAGAAGCAGCAAAUCAGGCUGGUGAAUCCAUGCUGCUGAGAUAAUCAGGGAUAUUAGGGGCAGAACUCUUCCUUUCUUCUCAGGCCAGUCCUUAUUCCUUACACAAAGCAGCUGGAAAUGGUUGCAUUGUCCUGAGCCAGGCUGGAUGACUGAGUUGCAAGCACAGACUCAGGGAUGAGGACAUUUCCCAUGACAGCUUGCACUUAUUCUCAACCACGAGGGCCCUGGGUUUGCUCCCACCCUUCUCAGCUCAGGCCAUCCUGUCUCUCUAGAAUGGUUUGAAGCAGCUCCAGGAUGGCCCCUGGACCUGGAAAAUGUCCCAGAUCGGAAGGGAUUAAUCACUAUGUGACAUUCAGCAUCUUCACUCCCCAAUUCCUGGUGCCAGCAAGUCUCUGCUCUCCCUGCCAGGACCUCUGCUAUACUCAAGGUACACAAAACCCCCAAUCUACCACACUGCACACACCCUUUCCUUUUAGUUAACCAAAGUCAGACUAGCACUUUCAAAAAGAGCUCUUAUUAGGAAACCCUGGGAGCACAAAGAAGAGAAAUAGAUGAGUGCAAUAAUGCUUCACAUUUGUAUAGCACUUUGCAGUUUGCAAAGCACUUGCACAUUCAUUACCUCAUUUACCCAGCAUGGAUUCCUUCCCAUAACUUAAGUAAAGCCUAGCUAGAGACUGGCAUGGGCUCUUCUAAGAGUUUCCCCCAUCCCUGCCUGACUACCAUUUCCCCAAUCCAACCUUGACAUCUGGCAACACCAAUAGCCUGAGUAGAGAGUCCUGGUGAAACCUAAAGGUCUGAUUCCUGGUCCCAGGUCUGACUCAGAUUUUCUCCUGGCCUACCCAGCCCACCCCUCUCCCAGACAUUGUGUUCUGGAAGCAUUUUCACUAACUAGUUGCUAAUGGUGAUUCUAACCACAGAGGGAAGCACUUUCACUUACUUGUUUCCAGAAUGGCACUGGGAUGGGUCACUAUCAACUUAUUUGUGCAGAAUAAUAGCUAACAUUCAUUGAGCACUCUUGGAGUGCCAGGCACUGCUUUUUAUGUGUACUAGCUCAUUUCCCUCUCACAAGGACUAUCAGGUGGACUGUAUGAUCUCCACUGUACAAGUGAGAGAAGCAGCUUGGUAAAUGCAAGUCGUAUUUUACAUUGUAGAGGUAAUCAAUGGAUUGGGUGGGCUGCGGGACAAUGAAACUAACCCCAUUUCCUUCACUGAGUCAUCACUUUAUGAAUGCAUGAGUUCAAGAUACAUUUACCAACCUCCUCCCAUGUGGCUAACCUCAUGGAUGCUGCAGUGAAUCAGGCAUGGCUCUGCCCUGAGGAUCCCAUGGCCUGGCUGGUCAUACCAGCCUCUUCUGCUAUUAAUGUGUAAUAUAAUAAGUGUUAUCGCAGAGGCUCAAACCCAGUCUAGGGCCUGGGAAACUGCCCAGAGGAUAUGACUUGGGAUGAGGAGGGGCAGAGGGGGCACCAAGUGGAGGUAAGAGAGCAUAUCUGGAAAAUGCAAAAAUCUUAGUACUACUGGUCAAGUAGGGUGUGACGAGUCAUAUACUAAGUUAUGAGAUUUGGGCUUUAUCCUGAAAUCACUAAGACACCAUUGAUGGGUUUUAAGCAGAGAAGUGACAUGAAAGCGACUUCCCCCCAAGUUAUUUUUUUAAUUAAGUCUUUGUUUUCUUGUGGUUGCCUCUUUCCAGUAAAAGUGAGUUCAGAUGGGGGAACUCGUUAAAUAAGACUCUCUGGCAACUGGUUGCUAAUUAGCUAAAGUUUUACUGCCCUCUAUUUGACCAGAGGUGAGAUGAUUCUUCCUCUCCCUCCCGUGCUCACUCUCUCCCCAACCAUGGUGGGCUUAGUGAUGUUGAGGCCCAUUUGGUUCAACAGGCUCACAGGGAAAGUCUGGGUGUGAGGCUCUGAAUAUUUGUAGCUUCUGUUUCUACUUGAUGUCUCUUUACAUUUUGGUGUCCAUCUACAAGAGUCACCUGCUGUCCACAUGAUGCUGUCAGAAUUCACACAUUGCCAGCAAUAACCAAUACCCCAUUUGUCAGGCAUUGAAGACUUUGUAUCACACUGACCUGCUGACUGGCUGUACUGAUGUCCCCCCACCCACCACCCCAGUGGGGAACUACUAGGCCUAGGAUCAGGGCCAAGCUUGGAAAAGCCCAGACACUGGCACCCCCUUGCCUUCAGGGAGCAUUCUUUAUUCAGUUCAGGAUGCAAUUUCAGCAGGCAUCAACAUAGAGAAAAGAGGGAGGAAGACGCCAUGGCUUGCUGGCCAGUCCCACCAUGUCAAUUCUGAUGAUUGGCAGGGCUGCAGGUGGCACAGCCAGCGCCUUCUCACAGCUGGGAAUGUUGUCUUACAAA